UACGUAGGGGGCUAGCGUUGUCCGGAUUUAUUGGGCGUAAAGAGCGUGUAGGCGGCCAGGUAGGUCUGCUGUGAAACUCGAGGCUCAACCUCGAGACGUCGGCGGAAACCAUCCAGCUAGAGUCCGGAAGAGGAGAGUGGAAUUCCUGGUGUAGCGGUGAAAUGCGCAGAUAUCAGGAAGAACACCCGUGGCUAAGGCGGCUCUCUAGUACGGUACUGACGCUGAGACGCGAAAGCGUGGGGAGCGAACAGG
rnacentral:rRNA from 1 species